AUGACCUAGUGACAGUUCUUCAAAAUGUAAAGUCCCAUGAAAGAAAAACUAUAUAGCAAGGACAGGAUACUUUGAGAACUUUUUACAAAAUUAUUCAUCUUGUCCAAAGCUAUCCAAUAGUAGCUCCCCCCACCACAACUGAAUCCUGUAUUAGUAUUUUUAAAAACCUGAAAAGUUCAAAUGAGGAAGUGACGUGGGUGGUUUCUCCCCUUCAAAGAUUUUAAAGCCAACAUUAGUGACACAGGGAAUUUAUUUAAGAAGGAUGUAAUUUUGGCAGAAUCUUAUUGAGGAUGGUCAGGGUACUAUUAAUUCGCUGAUUAUUUAUCUUUGGUGUGUCACUUUGGGGCUGACAUUUGGCAGUCCUAAUUUCCCCAAAAUUAGUCUACUGCUUUGCCAGAACUAAGGCCGGCCUGCUGCCUCUAACAAUCAAACAUUUAAAAGAUUAUUAACGUGGGGCACCUGGGUGGCUCAGUGGGUUGGGCCUCUGCCCUCGGCUCAGGUCACGAUCUCAGGGUCCUGGGAUCGAGCCCCGAGUCGGGCUCUCUGCUCGGCGGGGAGCCUGCCUCCCUCCUCUCUCUGCCUGCCUCUCUUCCCUACUUGUGAUCUCUGUAAAAUAAAUAAAUAAAAUCUUUAAAAAUAAAUAAAUAAAUAAUAAAAGAUUAUUAACGUUAUAGAAUGCCAAAUAAUCACCAUGUAUAAGAAACUUUCACCUGUGGAAUGUUUGACAAAAUAUGAUUCUAAAAAAAUGAGGAAUUUCCUUAAAUGCAGAAUGAAGAGCUAAAGCUUAAGCGUGGUGUUGAUUGAGAGCUUCAUUAUAUCUGGUAAGUGACUUAUUUGUCCCUUUCUAUUGACUGCAUCAUAGGGCUAUGGGUGGCUUUAAGUAGAGAAAGAAAAAUUGGCAACAUUUGUGAUUCAGAGUAUUAAGCGCCAAGAAUCUAAAAACAGGCUUUUAAAAAUAUAUUGUCAGGCGGCGGGGAGGCUCCUGGGUGGCUAAGUCGGUUAAGCCAUUGCCUUCGGCUCAGGUCAUGAUCCCGGAGUCCUGGGAUUGAGUCCGGAAUUGAGCUUCUUGGUCAGUGGGGAGCCUACUUCUCUCCCUGCCUGCUGCUCCCCCUGCUUGUGCGCUUGCUCACUCUCGCUUGCCCUCUUGCAAGUGAAUGAAUAAAAUCUUAAAAAAUAAUAUAUAUGUAUGUAGAGAGAGAAAAUGAGAGUGUCAGGGUGUCUGGGUGGCUCAGUCAGUUGAGUAUCUGACUUUUUUUUUUUUAAGAUUUUAUUUAUUUGACAGAGAUCACAAGUAGGCAGAGAGGCAGGCAGAGAAAGAGGGGGAAGCAGGCCCCUUGCCGAGCAGGGAGCCCCAUGUGGAUCUCAAUGCAGGGCUCGAUCCCAGGACGCUGGGAUCAUAACCAGAGCCAAAGGCAGAAGUUUUGUUUGUUUGUUUUAAAGAUUUUAUUUAUUUAUUUGACAGAGAGAUCACAAGUAGGCAGAGAGGCAGGCAGAGAGAGAGAGAGAGAGGAGGAAGCAGGCUCCCUGCUGAGCAGAGAGCCUGAUGCGGGACUCGAUCCCAGGACUCUGAGAUCAUGACCUGAGCCGAAGGCAGCGGCUUAACCCACUGAGCCACCCAGGCGCCUUGAGCAUCUGACUCUUGAUUUUGGCUCAGGCCAUGAUCUCAGGGUAUGGGAUCAAGGACGGGUCAGGCUCUGCACUCAGCAUGGAGUCUGCUUGAGAUUCUCUCCCCCUCCCUCUCCCUCUGCCUCUACCAUCUCUCAAAUAAAUAAAUCUUUUCAAAAGAUACUCUAGAAAAUACAUAUUGCCAAAGGGUCACAGUAUUUUUAGUGGUGCUUAAAAAGAAGAAGGAAAGGAAGUGAGGAAGGAAGGAGGGACAAAAGGAAAAAGAAAAAGAGAAGCUUUAAGCUAAGCACUGCUUUCAAAAAAUGUAUUUAAUGAUUAUAGAGAAACUUGGGGAUAUCCCUAGCCUAAUAAUGACUUACGCUGACAUUUUAAGGGAAGGUUUUUAAAUUUUAUUUAUUUUUAAUUGAAUGUACUUAACAUAUGACAUAAGUAUUUAAGGUCAGUUUUAACAUCACUGGGGAAGAUUGAGAUAGGUUCUACAACUUUUAUUCACUAAGGUUAACUAAUAGCUUGUAAACCUCACCCUAAAUUCUGCUUUUUUUUGUGCUUAGUAAAUUACACAGAAUCUUCCAGGUACUUGACAUUUGUAUGAUGAAUUCUAAAUUUUUCAUAUGCCACAAUUUUUGCUAAAGCUGUUCUUGAAUUCCCUUACCAUCUUUGCUCUUUUUUUUCCCAAUCUGACUUGGGCACUGCCUGUUAUCUUCUAAAACUUGAACUAGAAAGCUUGAGCUGUUCACCAUUUGGGGCUUAGUGUUGAAAACAAUUUAAGUUACUGUCCCCAAAUUCUUAAUCUCUAAUAGAAAUUUUUAAAAAAUAUAUAUUAAGAUUUUAGCUUCAGUUUUUCAAGAUGAUUUCGGCUGUUUUGCUUUCUGGCUAUUUUGCAAUGAAAAAUUACAUGUGCCAGUUAUUUAUUAAUUCACUAUAUUGAAUGGGAUAUUCAAAGUAAAUCAUACUUACCGUAUUAAGUCACGUGAAUUUUUAUGCCAUCUUUAGUUACAUACUCACUAAGAAAUGCUAAAAGGAGCCUCUGCAUGUCCUUAAUGGGGGGCCCCAGGUGAGAACUAAGCAGUGAAUGGACAGGAAAAGAGAUAAAACGUAAAAUAACCUUGAGUCAUGAUCUCAGGUUGUCACACUGAUUAGCCUUGUAGGUAGACAUUUAUUUAUCUGAAAAAUAAUUGAAACUAAUUUCACUUAUUUAAGUAUUGUGGUCAGGAUUCACGUGCUGGUGUUACACAGUCAUUGGUUAGAUCUUUAAUCUCUGCCUUUGAUGGUCUUUGAUGGUAGUCUUAAAAACUAGCACAAUUUAUGCCUCGGUUUUUGAAAAUUGGGGUGCAGCAAAUACAGUUAAUAAAAGAUUCAGGAGAUAUGAGGUCCAAUAUAAGGUAUGAGGAAGAUUUAGUUACUAGAGAAAGAACCUCAUCAUGAUGUUUGAGAAAAGCUUUAGAGUUAGGCUGAGGGAGUGUCUCAUAGCCCUGUGAGGAAAAUCUACAAAUAUUUAUCCAUUUUGCUAGAUAGUUUUAAGAGCUGCUAUUUAUCUGUACUUUCCUGAAUUUUCAUCUUAAUUCACUGUAUCACACAGUUGUUUUCUGUACCGUAUAAAAAUUUAAUGUAGAACUUUGAAUUUUUACCAUACUUGAAAAUGGCCUAGGGAAGAAACAUUUGCUUUAUCAAAUGGAAUUUCUGUUCUUUUUCUUUUCAUUUUUUAAGAUUUUAUUUGUUUAUUAGAGAGCAGUGUGAGGAGCAGAGAGGGACGAGCAGACUCCAUGCUGAGGUCGGAGGUCGGAGACCAGUGCAGGGCUCAAUCUCAUGACCCUGAGGUCAUAACCUAAGCCAAAAUCAAAAGUCAGAUGUUUAACCAACUGAGCCACCCAGGAGCCUCAGGAACUUCUGUUCUGAUGUAGUAUUUUUAAGAUGCACACAUGAACGCUUUACCCUUUCUAUAUUAUUCAAGAGAGAGACAGACAGAGACCACGGGGAGAAGCAGAGGGAGAUGGAUAAACAGACUCUGCUGAGUGCAAAGCCUAAUGCAGGGCUUGAUUCCAGGACCCUGAGGUGAUGACCUGACCCUAAGCCAAGAGCCAGCUGCUUUACUGACUGAGCCACCCAGGCACCAGAAGACUGAUUUUCUUGUAUAGUAUAUAGAAUAAAAUCUUCUGUUUCAUGCGUUUGCUUUUAAA